rnacentral:rRNA from 1 species
CUCCUGGAAACGGGUGGUAAUGCCGGAUGCUCCGACUCCUCGCAUGGGGUGUCGGGAAAGAUUUCAUCGGUAUGGGAUGGGGUCGCGUCCUAUCAGGUAGUCGGCGGGGUAACGGCCCACCGAGCCUACGACGGGUAGCCGGCCUGAGAGGGCGACCGGCCACAUUGGGACUGAGAUACGGCCCAGACUCCUACGGGAGGCAGCAGUGGGGAAUAUUGCACAAUGGGCGCAAGCCUGAUGCAGCGACGCCGCGUGCGGGAUGACGGCCUUCGGGUUGUAAACCGCUUUUGAUCGGGAGCAAGCCUUCGGGUGAGUGUACCUUUCGAAUAAGCACCGGCUAACUACGUGCCAGCAGCCGCGGUAAUACGUAGGGUGCAAGCGUUAUCCGGAAUUAUUGGGCGUAAAGGGCUCGUAGGCGGUUCGUCGCGUCCGGUGUGAAAGUCCAUCGCUUAACGGUGGAUCUGCGCCGGGUACGGGCGGGCUGGAGUGCGGUAGGGGAGACUGGAAUUCCCGGUGUAACGGUGGAAUGUGUAGAUAUC